rnacentral:rRNA from 1 species
UACGUAGGGGCCUAGCGUUGUCCGGAAUUAUUGGGCGUAAAGAGCUCGUAGGCGGUUCGGCAAGUCGGAUGUGAAAUCUCCACGCUUAACGUGGAGGGGCCAUUCGAAACUGCUGUGACUCGAGUCCGGUAGGGGAGUGUGGAAUUCCCGGUGUAGCGGUGAAAUGCGCAGAUAUCGGGAGGAACACCAGUAGCGAAGGCGGCACUCUGGGCCGGUACUGAUGCUGAGGAGCGAAAGCGUGGGGAGCGAACAGG